GACAGAGGGUGCAAACGUUGUUCGGAUUUACUGGGCGUAAAGCGCGUGUAGGCGGCUUUGCAAGUCGGAUGUGAAAGCCCACGGCUCAACCGUGGAAGUGCAUCCGAAACUGCAUGGCUCGAGUCUCGGAGAGGAAGGUGGAAUGCUUGGUGUAGAGGUGAAAUUCGUAGAUAUCAAGCGGAACACCGGUGGCGAAGGCGGGUCUCUGGGCAGUAACUGACGCUGAGGAGCGAAAGCGUGGGGAGCGAACAGG
rnacentral:rRNA from 1 species